UUAAUAAAAAGAAAAUUUGACUCAAAACACACACAAGGUGUGUGUUCUGGUCGAUGUUUACACAUAGCAAGAAAGGGGUUCCUUCUUUUGAACCCUAAACUCACUAUUUGAUCAAAAUCAGAGGGAAAACAAGCUAGGAAUUUGGGGCUUUUACUAAAUUCGCGAUCACCAAGACAAGGGGGUUGUAAGUUUGAUCCCGUCAAGCUAAGUGGGAGCUGGCAAGGAAUGGAUCAAACGGGUCAAGUGCGCAAGGAAAGCUCGAACGGACGCAAACUGUGAAUGUCGAGAGUCCCGGAUGAAGAUCAAGCAUCGAACAAGAACCGAACAUACGUUAAACAAAGCUUCCGCAAUGUUGUUUUGUCGUUAUUCUAAACGGCGAAUUAAAUCACAUUAUGUAUAUCACUUAAAUUGUAAAAGUUUUUAACAACCCGUAUUUCUGAUGUAUAUGUAAUUAUUAAUUACAUGAUUAUUUCGCUAAAUAUACGUUAAACCUUGAUUUAUAAGAACGGGUGUUACAAGUUGGUAAUCAGAGCUCAAGGUGAAAAGAAUAAAGUGUUCGGUUCAAGGCUUGAUCGCAAAUCCGGUAGGACACUCGCGUUUGAAGACGACGAGAGUCAA
rnacentral:lncRNA from 1 species